rnacentral:rRNA from 1 species
AACGAACGCUGGCGGCGUGCCUAACACAUGCAAGUCGUGCGAGAAAGUUCCUUCGGGAGCGAGUAAAGCGGCGCACGGGUGAGUAACACGUAGGUAACCUGCCCCCCAGUCUGGAACAACUAGAGGAAACUCUAGCUAAUGCCGGAUGAGACCACGAUCCCUUCGGGGGUUGCGGCCAAAGAUGGCCUCUACUUGUAAGCUAUCGCUGAGGGAUGGGCCUGCGGGCCAUUAGCUUGUUGGUGAGGUAACGGCUCACCAAGGCUGUGAUGGCUAGCUGGUCUGAGAGGAUGACCAGCCACACUGGGACUGAGACACGGCCCAGACUCCUACGGGAGGCAGCAGUGGGGAAUAUUGCGCAAUGGGGCGAAAGCCUGACGCAGCGACGCCGCGUGGGUGAUGAAGGCC